rnacentral:rRNA from 1 species
UACGAAGGGGGCUAGCGUUGUUCGGAAUUACUGGGCGUAAAGGGCGCGUAGGCGGUGUGUCAAGUCAGGCGUGAAAGCCCCGGGCUCAACCUGGGAACCGCGCUUGAGACUGGCACGCUCGAGUUCGGGAGAGGAUGGUGGAAUUCCCAGUGUAGAGGUGAAAUUCGUAGAUAUUGGGAAGAACACCGAUGGCGAAGGCAGCCACCUGGACCGACACUGACGCUGAGGCGCGAAAGCGUGGGGAGCAAACAGG